rfam:Canis lupus familiaris chromosome 1, whole genome shotgun sequence.
GCCUGGGUGGCUCAGUGGUUGAGCAUCUGCCUUCAGCUCAGAUUGUGAUGCUGGGGUCCUGGGAUCGAGUCCCACAUUGGGCU